rnacentral:rRNA from 1 species
AGUGAACGCUGGCGGUAGGCCUAACACAUGCAAGUCGAACGGCAGCACAGGAGAGCUUGCUCUCUGGGUGGCGAGUGGCGGACGGGUGAGGAAUACAUCGGAAUCUACUUUUUCGUGGGGGAUAACGUAGGGAAACUUACGCUAAUACCGCAUACGUACUACGGGUGAAAGCAGGGGACCUUCGGCCCUUGCGCGAUUGAAUGAGCCGGUGUCGGAUUAGCUAGUGGGCGGGGUAAAGGCCCACCAAGGCGACGAUCCGUAGCUGGUCUGAGAGGAUGAUCAGCCACACUGGAACUGAGACACGGUCCAGACUACUACGGGAGGCAGCAGUGGGGAAUAUUGGACAAUGGGCGCAAGCCUGAUCCAGCCAUACCGCGUGGGUGAAGAAGGCCUUCGGGUUGUAAAGCCCUUUUGUUGGGAAAGAAAUCCAGCUGGCUAAUACCCGGUUGGGAUGACGGUACCCAAAGAAUAAGCACCGGCUAACUUCGUGCCAGCAGCCGCGGUAA